rnacentral:rRNA from 1 species
AUGGGCGCCAUUUGCUCCCCUGACAGCUUUUUGGUUACGUGGACCCCGGGUUCUUUGAUUGGCAAGACUGAGCAGGUGGAUAUGCAGUUCACACGUGCUCACGGGGUGGCGCGUUUACUUGUCAGUGUUGCUAACAUUGAGUUCCUGUCGGACGUGGUGCCUUGGACGCAUGAAGGCGUUCUGUAUCAGUUGGAUGUUGAGUAUGAGGAUCCUAACCUUUUCCGUGAGUUUGAGGAUGAUAAUCCUAUGGACACCUCCGAGGGAGGAGGUGCUUCGGGGAACCAAGAUGAUAGUGCUAAGAGUAAUGAUGAUAAGGCCAAGGGGCCUUUGGGUCCGUCUGAUUCUGGUGACACUGCUCCUGAUAGGUCAACUGGCACGGUCCCGAUGAGUACUUUGCAGCUUGGUUCCUUGGGGGCUUUCUCGGCUCCGCCUAGGCUUUGGUGUGACCGAGUUGAUCCAGUGAGCCCCGUGGUAAGUCCGUGUGUGUCGAAGCCUAUUGAGGUGGGAGGUGACGAGGGGCAGGAGGCCCCUCCCUCUUCUCCUACUCCUUCUCCGGUUAUGGAGGAGGUGGCUGCGACGGUAGUCUCGGCUGGAGGUGGCGGGCAGGUGGCCCGGCGAUCCGUGUCGCCAUCAUCGUCGGUGCCGAGGGCGAGCUCGGGGGUUUCACUCCCUCCCAUGAGGUCGGCUGUGUGCGGAGGGGUGUGCGUGCAGGAGGCCACCGCACCCCUUCCUGCCAGGCCGCUUCCUGCCACGGAGGGCGGGUCGGGUGGCGUGGCCGUUAUGACGCCCCACUCCCCGGAUCGCUCCCCUAGGCUGGCCUCGCCGCUCUCGGGUCCGUCGGCUGCUCCGGCUAUCGGCGGGACUCCCGUGGACAGGCCGCGGGAGAUGUCGUCGUCUUUUGGUGCUGCGCCGGAGGUCCCAGCACGGGUCACCGCUGUUGGGGGACGGGCAGGAGGCCCUUCCCCUAGCAGAGCUUCACGCGAGGAGGUCAUCGCCUUUGGUGGGAUUACGGAUCCUAUCUCUGAGGGGAGGCGGAUCAGCGGGAGGCUACAGGAGCAGCCGGACGUUGAUGACAUGCAGCUGAGGUGUGCUAUGAGGGCGGCCAAGCUGCGUGACGUCGAGAUGUCCACCGGUUAUCUUCAGGGCCACUGCGUUGAUCCGUAUGUGGUCGCUACUCACUCCGACGGAGGCCAGGGAGCGUUUGGUUACUGCGUCUACCCGAUGGGAGAUGGUAGCUCGGGAUAUUUUCAACCGGUUUGGACGGCGGUCAUGUAA